GAUUUGAGUCUUGCUCUGUCGCCCAGGCUCUGUAUCAAAAAAUAAAUAAAUAAAUAAAUAAAUAAAAGCCAAGGGUCUAGCCAGAGCUGUGGAACCGCCGCCAGGUCGCUGUUGGUCCACACCGCCCGUCGCGCUACCCGCCCACCCAGCAUCGGCCGCCGCCAUGGGAGUGCAGGUGGAAACCAUCUCCCCAGGAGAGGAGUGCACCUUCCCGAGGCACGGCCAGACCUGCGUGGUGCACUACACCGGGAUGCUUGAAGAUGGAAAGAAAUUUGAUUCCUCCCGGGACAGAAACAAGCCCCUUAAUUUUUAGCAGGAGGUGAUCCGAGGCUGGGAAGAAAGGGUUGCUUAGAUGAGUGUGGGUCAGACAGCCCAACUGACUAUAUCUCCAGAUUCUGCCUACGGUGCCACUGGGCACCCAGGCAUCAUCCCACCACACGCCACUCUCGUCUUCGAUGUGGAGCUCCUAAAACUGGAAUGAAGGGAAUGGCCUUCUCCCUCAGCUCCCUGUUCUUGGAUCUGCCAUGGAGGGAUCUGGUGCCUCCAGACGCGUGCGCAUGAAUCCAUAUGAAGCUUUUCCUGAGGUUCCACUACACUCUGUAUAGACAUCUGCCCUGACUGAAUGUGUUCUGUCACUCAGCUUUGCUUCCGACACCUUCCAUUUCCUCUUCCCCCUUCUCCUUGUGUGUGUGUUUACCUAAACUAUAUGCCAUAAACCUCAAGUUACUCAUUUUAUUUUGUUUUCAUUUUGGGGUGAAGAUUCAGUUUCAGUCUUUUGCAUCUAGGUUUCCAAUUAAGUACAUGGUCAAGUAUCAACAGCACAAGUGAUAGAUUCACUUUAGAAUAGGAAUUGGUGUUGGGGGGGUGUUGCAAGAAUAUUUUAAUUUUUUCGAUGAAAUUUUUAUCUAUUAGAUACUAAACAUUCUUUCUGCUGCGCUGCAAAGUCAUAGCAGAUAUGAGGUGCUGUUGAGGGAUUAAUUAUUGUCCAAGUUGAGAGAUGUCCUUCAGUUAAAUUAAAAUCCCUACCUAAAACCAAGGUGGUGAUGGGGAGAGCCUUUGCUUCCACCAGUUCCCCCCCUUCCCUCGCUUUAAGCCCCUGCCUUUGAAAGUAGAUCAUGUUCACUGAGAUGCUGGACACUGCAGGUAUCUCUCCCUGGGCCAGCAGGGACCUCUGAAGCUUUGUUGCCUGGCUUAUUUUUUUUUCCAUCCUGUGGUUUUUCUAAUGGACUUUCCGGAAUUUUGUAAUCUCAUAACUUUCCAAGCUCCAUCAUUUCCUAAAUCUUAAGAACUUUAACUGACAGUUUAAAUUGAAGAUGCUGUUUGUAGACUUCACACCCAAUGAAAGCCCAGCCAUUGCCGGGCACGGUGGCUCACGCCUGUAAUCUCAGCACUUUGGGAAGCCAAGGUGGGUGGAUCACCUGAGGUUGGGCGUUCGUGACUAGCCUGAUCAACAUGGAGAAACCUGGUCUCUACUAAAAAUACAAAAUUAGCCGGGCAUGAUUGUGCAUGCCUGUAAUCCCAGCUACUCGGGAGGCUGAGGCAGAAUUGCUUGAACUGGGAGGCAGAGGUUGUGGUGGGCCGAGAUCGUGCCAUUGAUUGCACUCCAGCCUGGGCAACAGGAGCGAAACUCCAUCUCAAAUUAAAAAAAAAAAAAAAAAAAAA